rnacentral:rRNA from 1 species
CCUACGGGGGGCAGCAGUGAGGAAUAUUGGUCAAUGGACGAGAGUCUGAACCAGCCAAGUAGCGUGAAGGAUGACUGCCCUAUGGGUUGUAAACUUCUUUUAUAUGGGAAUAAAAUGUUCCACGUGUGGGAUUUUGUAUGUACCAUAUGAAUAAGGAUCGGCUAACUCCGUGCCAGCAGCCGCGGUAAUACGGAGGAUCCGAGCGUUAUCCGGAUUUAUUGGGUUUAAAGGGAGAGUAGGUGGAUUGUUAAGUCAGUUGUGAAAGUUUGCGGCUCAACCGUAAAAUUGCAGUUGAAACGGGCAGUCUUGAGUACAGUAGAGGUGGGCGGAAUUCGUGGUGUAGCGGUGAAAUGCUUAGAUAUCACGAAGAACGCCGAUUGCGAAGGCAGUUCACUGGACUGCAACUGACACUGAGGCUCGAAAGUGUGGGUAUCAAACAGGAUUAGAUACCCUGGUAGUC